ensembl:lncRNA
AGCCCGGCCGGCUCCCCGGCCGCGAUCCGGAGCGAUGGGGAGCGCCUGGAAAACCCUCGGCUCCACUUUUCCCCGCAGCGGUCUCGCGUGGGCGCAGCCUUCCAGCCAAAACCAAAACACCACCAGCGAUGCGAUUUNGGGGGGGAGUUAAAUUAGGGAAAAGUAGAGGGGAAAGAGGGAAAGGAGGAAGGCUGGCUCGACCCUCCCACCCCACGCGUGUCUGCACCCCCUACAGCCGUGACCGAGAGGGCUUAAAGGAGAGGGGUGGGCAUUAUCCACUGCAGCCCCGUUAGUGCUGCCCAAAGUGGGAGCAGACCCCAAGCAGCACCCACAAAAUUCCCCCUCCCCGGUGGUUUUUUAUCGCUCUCCCCCGUUUUUCCCGUGUGGGGAAGCGGGAGGAGCUGGAAGCACAGUGGGGUGAGCCGCUGGGGACUGGGAAUGCCGUCGGUCUGGAUGGGGAGGGAUGUCCCAGAGCGGUGGGAAAUGUUGGGGGAAAGGGGUGCUUUACUUCAUGUCGGGUUGGUUUCGCACUUGGGGAAAUUUGGGGGAUUUUGGGGUGGGUUUGGGCCUUGGGAUGCCAUUGGGGCCUUGCGGGUGGCAAUGGCAAUGGCAAGACCCCAAAACCCGCUUGUGGAAAGGGGUCAGGGUGAAACCCCUUCCCCAAGGAGGGUCCGGGAAAGGGGGGGAGAUGAGUUGAGGUGAUGUUUUCUCUGGAAAUCAUGGAAGCAGCCUCUGGGAACAGCCCGGUCUGGUGGAAGGUGUCCCUGCCCACGGCAGGAGGGUCAGGACUGGAUGGGCCUUAAGGUCUUUUCCAACCCAACCCAUCCUGGAGCUGUAGGAUUCCAUGAACACCACCUCAGGGCAGGAGAAGGGCUGGAUGGAGCACGGAGCGGGGAAUUACGGCCGGAGACAGAACUCUUGGGACUGCUUUAGGUUUCAGCAGCAGAUUCCCCCGGCUGAACCCCUCGGCUGGGCUGAAUUUAGCAGCAGAAGAGAUAACCAGCAGAUAAGGACUGAUACCCUGGGAGGACAGCGGCAGACAAUGGGCGGCCGGGCAAGGGGAGAGAAGCCGGAGGCAGCGUUGGGAAGGGGAAAAAAGCUACAAAAGCGAUUCCCGUGGAUUGUUUGGCGUGAAGAGUGGCCGGAUCCAGCCCUUUCUGCAGGGAAUUAUCGGCCGGAGGGGCCGGGAAUGGCAGGGACGAGCAUCCCAAGAGCCGGCAGGGAGAGGAUGGAUUUAGGACACAUUUAGGAUUUUCUCCCGGAAAAAGCAGACGGGACACAGCAAAACCCAGCGGCAAAAAAAAAAAAACAACCCAAAACUAAACCCAAAACUGUGUUCUGCACGCGGUGGAGACUUUUUUUUUUCCUUGCGAUUAACGAAAUCUGUGUGAAAAUAACCCAGGGGAACAAACUUUGGCCUUGCCUCUCUCCUUUCCAGCCUUCAGUUCUGCCCCAGGCAGGAAAAAAGUCGAUACGAAAAUAUGCCUAUUUUUAGGGCUUUUCUUGUGGUGUUUUUUGGGGUUUUUUUAAAUAAUUUUUUCCCCCCGUAUCGAACUUACUUCCGCGGUGGUUUUAGAGUUAAAGCUCCGGGUGUUGAUGCAUGGGAAAAAAAAAAAAAAACAAACCAAAAAACAACCAAACCUCCCCCCAAAAAAACCCCAAAACACUUUAGAAACUAGUGGCGGGGUGGAAGGAGGGGAAGAGGGGAGAAAGUUAAUUUAAAUUUCUAUCUGCGCUAAAAAUUGAUUUUUUAAAAAGUCACGAAGAAAAAUGGUUGAAAAUAAGUGGAAAAAUCAGCGGGGCAAAUGUGAUUUUAGGAGGGCAAAAAAGAAUAAAAGCGGCCGGCGGCUGCUGCGUGUUGGACA